rnacentral:rRNA from 1 species
GGGUUGUGAGGUUAAGCGACUAAGCGUACACGGUGGAUGCCCUGGCAGUCAGAGGCGAUGAAGGGCGUGCUAAUCUGCGAUAAGCGCCGGUAAGGUGAUAUGAACCGUUAUAACCGGCGAUACCCGAAUGGGGAAACCCAGUGUGACUCGUCACACUAUCAUUAACUGAAUCCAUAGGUUAAUGAGGCGAACCGGGGGAACUGAAACAUCUAAGUACCCCGAGGAAAAGAAAUCAACCGAGAUUCCCCCAGUAGCGGCGAGCGAACGGGGAGGAGCCCAGAGCCUGAAUCAGCAUGUGUGUUAGUGGAAGCGUCUGGAAAGACGCGCGAUACAGGGUGACAGCCCCGUACACAAAAGCGCAUGUGCUGUGAGCUCGAUGAGUAGGGCGGGACACGUGGUAUCCUGUCUGAAUAUGGGGGGACCAUCCUCCAAGGCUAAAUACUCCUGACUGACCGAUAGUGAACCAGUACCGUGAGGGAAAGGCGAAAAGAACCCCGGCGAGGGGAGUGAAAAAGAACCUGAAACCGUGUACGUACAAGCAGUGGGAGCACCCUUUGGGGUGUGACUGCGUACCUUUUGUAUAAUGGGUCAGCGACUUAUAUUCUGUAGCAAGGUUAACCGAAUAGGGGAGCCGGAGGGAAACCGAGUCUUAAUUGGGCGUUAAGUUGCAGGGUAUAGACCCGAAACCCGGUGAUCUAGCCAUGGGCAGGUUGAAGGUUGGGUAACACUAACUGGAGGACCGAACCGACUAAUGUUGAAAAAUUAGCGGAUGACCUGUGGCU